rnacentral:rRNA from 1 species
UACGUAGGUGGCAAGCGUUGUCCGGAUUUAUUGGGUUUAAAGGGUGCGUAGGCGGCCUUAUAAGUCAGUGCUGAAAUAUCCCGGCUUAACCGGGAGGGUGGCAUUGAUACUGUAGGGCUUGAGUAAAGUUGAGGUAGGCGGAAUUGACGGUGUAGCGGUGAAAUGCUUAGAUAUCGUCAAGAACACCGAUAGUGAAGACAGCUUACUAAGCUUUAACUGACGCUGAGGCACGAAAGUGUGGGGAUCAAACAGGAUUAGAAACCCCCGUAGUCC